rnacentral:rRNA from 1 species
UACGUAGGUGGCAAGCGUUGUCCGGAUUUAUUGGGCUUAAAGGGUGCGUAGGCGGUUUCAUAAGUCAGUGGUGAAAUACGGCAGCUCAACUGUCGAGGUGCCAUUGAUACUGCGGAACUUGAGUACUGAUGAGGUAGGCGGAAUUGACGGUGUAGCGGUGAAAUGCUUAGAUAUCGUCAAGAACACCGAUAGCGAAGGCAGCUUACCAAGCAGUAACUGACGCUGAGGCACGAAAGUGCGGGGAGCAAACAGG